rnacentral:lncRNA from 1 species
UACAGUGUCCAGACUGGACAGCAUUCUACUCACACAGGGUCUGAUCCCCUCAGUAGAAUCAACAAACAUAGGUAACAUUAAAAUCACAGACCACGCCCCAGUAGAAGUCAUUGUUAAAAUAGGAGAAGGAACACAAACCACCCCAUCAUGGUCCUUCAGUCCCAUCCUAACUACAAACAAACAAAUUAGAGAGAGUCUCACAAAAACCCUCCAAAACUACUUCAAAGAAAACGAUGUAAACAAUAUAACAACCCCCCUCCUAUGGGACGCAAUGAAAGCGGUCACCAGAGGAGCUUGCAUAAAAGAGAAAACAUUCCUUAAAAAACAAACCUCCUCAAAAAUUAGCAAAAUAGAACAAGACAUCACAGCCCUCUCAUCACGCUACAAACAAACAGGA